UCAUGUUGGAAAACAUUUCCAAAAUGUUGGAAAGACAAAGAACAAGGUGAAAAGUACAAAGACUGAAAGCUGUAAAGAAAUAUCUCUUCAGGAGCUGAGUAAGAAGUCAGAUCGUACUUUAAACAUACAGCUUAUGAAAACUGAAGGAGAACUACGAAGGGUUGACCGAGAAAUGAUAAAGCUGCGUCAGUCCAUUUCAAGAAAUGAAGACCGGAAUCAGAGUGUUGUAAAAUCAGUGCAGGAAAAACUUAAUGACCUUGAGACAUACAAAAGCCAGCUGAAAGUAUCUGAGAAAGCUAUAGGACAGCAGAAAAACCAGAGACAUGCUCAUAAGAAACUGACCAUAUUCUGAUUGCCAUGUUUAAUUCUGAAGAGAAACAGUUAUAUCUAUCUGAAAGUUCUUUUACAAAACUAAAUAUUUACAGAUAUGGAACACAAGUCUUAAUAUUUUUCAUUUUUACUUCUUUU
rnacentral:lncRNA from 1 species